rnacentral:rRNA from 1 species
CCUACGGGGGGCAGCAGUGGGGAAUAUUGCACAAUGGGGGAAACCCUGAUGCAGCAACGCCGCGUGAGCGAUGAAGGCCUUCGGGUCGUAAAGCUCUGUCCUAAGGGAAGAAUACUGACGGUACCUUAGGAGGAAGCACCGGCUAACUACGUGCCAGCAGCCGCGGUAAUACGUAGGGGGCUAGCGUUAACCGGAAUUACUGGGCGUAAAGGGUGCGUAGGCGGCCCUUUAAGUCAGAGGUGAAAGGCUAAGGCUCAACCGUAGUAAGCCUUUGAAACGGUAGGGAGUGAGUGCAGGAGAGGGGAGUGGAAUUCCCAGUGUAGCGGUGAAAUGUAUAGAUAUUGGAAGGAAGACCAGAUGCGAAGGCGGCUCUCGGGACUGUAACUGACGAUGAGGCACGAAAGCGUGGGGAGCGAACAGGAUUAGAUACCGUAUUAGUC